UACAGAGACUGCAAGCGUUGUUCGGAUUCACUGGGCGUAAAGGGUGCGCAGGCGGCCGGGUGUGUCGGGUGUGAAAGCUCGAGGCUUAACCUCGAAAUUGCGCCCGAAACUAUCCGGCUAGAGUACUGGAGAGGGAAGCGGAAUUCACGGUGUAGCAGUGAAAUGCGUAGAUAUCGUGAGGAACACCAAUGGCGAAGGCAGCUUCCUGGACAGUUACUGACGCUCAGGCACGAAAGCGUGGGGAGCAAAAGGG
rnacentral:rRNA from 1 species